UACGUAGGGUGCAAGCGUUAUCCGGAAUUAUUGGGCGUAAAGAGCUCGUAGGCGGUUUGUCGCGUCUGCUGUGAAAACCGGAGGCUCAACCUCCGGCCUGCAGUGGGUACGGGCAAACUAGAGUGCGGUAGGGGAGAUUGGAAUUCCUGGUGUAGCGGUGGAAUGCGCAGAUAUCAGGAGGAACACCGAUGGCGAAGGCGGAUCUCUGGGCCGUAACUGACGCUGAGGAGCGAAAGCAUGGGGAGCGAACAGG
rnacentral:rRNA from 1 species